rnacentral:rRNA from 1 species
UGGGGAAUAUUGGACAAUGGGCGAAAGCCUGAUCCAGCCAUGCCGCGUGAGUGAUGAAGGCCUUAGGGUUGUAAUGCUCUUUUUGGCGGGGACGAUAAUGACGGUACCCGCAGAAUAAGCCCCGGCUAACUUCGUGCCAGCAGCCGCGGUAAUACGAAGGGGGCUAGCGUUGUUCGGAAUUACUGGGCGUAAAGCGCACGUAGGCGGAUCAGCAAGUCAGGGGUGAAAUCCCGGGGCUCAACCUCGGAACUGCCUCUGAUACUGCUAGUCUAGAGUCCGGAAGAGGUGGGUGGAAUUCCACGUGUAGCAGUGAAAUGCGUAGAUAUGUGGAGGAAUACCGAUGGCGAAGGCAGCCCCCUGGGAUAACACUGACGCUCAUGCACGAAAGCGUGGGGAGCAAACAGGAUUAGAUACCCUUGUAGUCCCUGAGCGGGCUGGCAAGGCGCAU